ensembl:lincRNA
AUGAGAGAGAGACAGCUAGAGGCUACACUGGAUGCUGUGCUAGGUAGCCAUGCCAUGACCAUCCUCUGGGCCAGUGUAGGAAGGCCAAGGCCAGACCCAGAUGUUCUGCAGGGGUCUUUGAAGCGGCUACUGACAGAUACCCUGUCACGGCCCUUGACACUGGGCCUAGGACUUAAGGCCUUUGGCAUAAACAGUGGAAAGACUGGGGGAAGCACAGUGCAUGUGGUUGGUGCUUCACAUGUGGAGACAUUUCUCACUCGAUCUGGGGACUAUAAUGAGCUUGGAUACAUGUUGCCUGGACAUCUUGGCCUCCAUGUAUUCAUGGUGGGUGUAGACGUGGCUACUAGCUUUUUACAGAGCGCUGCAUCUUCAACUCCAGAACCCGGCACCAUUCUUCUUAGUGGCCACAGGGGCCUCUAUCAUGACUUCUGGGAGGAACAUGUAGAGACUGGGCAGAUAGCCCAUCCAGAUAUGGUAGUGGCUUUCCAUCCAGGUUUCCAUGCCUCCCCAACCUUGAUGGAAAAUUGGCUACCUACCUUGCUGCUACUUCGUGACUAUAAGAUCCCUACAUUGCUUACUGUCUACAGGUUUUGACCUAUUCCUAUUUGUCGUAUCUCCCUGAUGCACUCGUAUCAUUCUUUAUAUGGAAGGGUUUAUUUUGCUUCCCCUUGCUUAUCUACCUUCUUGUGAAGAUAUUCUUCCUUCCCCCCGUGGCCUUUUCAUCCCCUAUGUUGCUUAUUUACAGAUGUAGUGAACCAUUUUGGAGGAAGGGAUAGUCCUUACCUAGUCACUGGGUAAUUUUUGGAAUUGAUAAGUACGGAAAUGUCAUGCUUUUGAGCAACUCCUGCUAGCUUGCUUUCUCCCUUUUCCUGUCUUUCAUAAUCAGUACAACAAUGUUUCUUAUCUCUCUCCCAUAGCCACCAGGAAUUGGCAGCCUCUGUACAGAUUCUGGUGGACCUGGAUACACAUAUCAUUGCAUAUGGAGCUAAUCCUUUCGCAUCUCUCAAGCCUGAACAGGUCUAUUCUAACCCCAACAAGCAGCCAGUAUACUGCAAUGCCUACUACAUCAUGUUUCGAGGGAGUUCCUGCCAGCUAGAUAGAGGCAAUUAGAAGAGAAAGUAGAUCGUGGAGUUUAAAUGGCUGAGCCAGAGCCUCACUAGAUUCAUGGAAAAUGGGGAAGCUGUGACAAAAUUUUACUGCACAUGCCAGGAUGUUGCCAACACUGAAACAUACUUUGUUCUAAAUCUCAUUCACUGUACAGGUAAAGAGUCUAAGCUGAACGAGAGCACCAGGAUGAUGUAACUUAUUGCUAAGAGGUUAGCCACAAGUAGCUUCUAAAGAUAGGUUUCUAGAUUUAGUAGGUAGCAAAAAGCCCUGGUGUCAGUCUUUCCAUAGUCUGGAGUUCUUAAUAGUCUCCUUUGUGAGUAAAUUGUACCUUUGACUGGAACCAGAUGGCACUGAAGAAAAAAAUGAGAACUACCAUAUUCUUCUGAAAAUGAUUCUUAUUCUGCAGUUAGGGUUAAAAAAUGGAGAUGUUGAUGACUUGAAAGUAAUGUGAGAAUGGACAAGUCAGGAAAGUUUUGGGAGCAUCAGGAAGGUUGUAAAUAUUGGCACACUGUUAUAUUUCCUCCUGCCUUCUUCUCUCAAGAAAGGUCUCAUUUUCCUAUUGUCUUUUGGGGAAUUCUGACCCUAGAAUGGACCUGGUGGUAUAUUUGAGUUAUCCCAGGUUAUAUGAAACUUUACCUGAAUUCAUUGGAGUUACCCACCUGCUCUGUACCACAAUAAAUUCAGUUUUGAGAGGUUUUUAUUGUUGUUUUUGUUUGCUUAUUUUAGUGACAGAGGGAGCUCACUAUGUUGUCUGGGCUGACCCUGAACUUUUGAGCUCCAGUAAUCCUCUUACCUCAACCUCUCAAGUAGCUGGGACUACUGGUACUCCCCACAUUGUGUCUAAUUACUUUGGGGCUUCUUAAAUCACUUGUUUUAUCUUCUUGCAAGUAUUUCUUACUUGAACACAAUCCUUUGAAAUGGAAGAUUAGUAUCAGCUCUAUUUUUGGGUGUGCCAUUCUUCCACACAUCAUUUGUUUCAUGUUAUCUUUCUCUUAUCACAUUUUCAGGAUUAGGAAAUUCCCGGGUAUUCAUUUCUACCACCUUGCUUUUUUUUUUUUUUUUUUGUACCAGGGAUCAAACUCAGGACCUUAAACUUGUGAGGCAGGCACAGGUGCCACUGAGCUAAAUCCCUGGCCCCCAACCUUGCCAUUUUUACAUACACUCAUAC